rnacentral:rRNA from 1 species
ACUCCUACGGGAGGCAGCAGUGGGGAAUUUUGGACAAUGGGCGAAAGCCUGAUCCAGCCAUGCCGCGUGCAGGAUGAAGGCCUUCGGGUUGUAAACUGCUUUUGUACGGAACGAAAAGAUCUCUUCUAAUAAAGGGGGUCCAUGACGGUACCGUAAGAAUAAGCACCGGCUAACUACGUGCCAGCAGCCGCGGUAAU